GACGAACCGUCCUAACGUUGUUCGGAAUCACUGGGCUUAAAGGGCGCGUAGGCGGGUUCCCAAGUCGGUGGUGAAAUCUUUCGGCCCAACCGGAAAACAGCCGCCGAUACUGGGAGUCUUGAGGGAGGUAGGGGUCGAUGGAAUUCCCGGUGUAGUGGUGAAAUGCGUAGAGAUCGGGAGGGACACCUGUGGCGAAGGCGGCCCCCUGGGCCGGCCCUGACACUGAGACGCGAAGGCGUGGGGAGCGAACGGG
rnacentral:rRNA from 1 species